UGCGCAGGCGGUUUUGUAAGACAGGUGUGAAAUCCCCGGGCUUAACCUGGGAACUGCAUUUGUGACUGCAAGGCUAGAGUGCGGCAGAGGGGGGUAGAAUUCCACGUGUAGCAGUGAAAUGCGUAGAGAUGUGGAGGAAUACCGAUGGCGAAGGCAGCCCCCUGGGUCGACACUGACGCUCAUGCACGAAAGCGUGGGGAGCAAACAGGAUUAGAUACCCUGGUAGUCCACGCCCUAAACGAUGUCAACUAGGUGUUGGGGAAGGAGACUUCUUUAGUACCGCAGCUAACGCGAUAAGUUGACCGCCUGGGGAGUACGGUCGCAAGAUUAAA
rnacentral:rRNA from 1 species